CAGCGCUGCGCGCGCGGCGGCCGCGCGGACCAGGCUGCCGAUCUGGUGCAAUGGCUGACGGCGGUGGUCCAGCAUCCGCUGGCGCCGC
rnacentral:tRNA from 1 species